rnacentral:lncRNA from 1 species
GGGCAUUAUUUCAGCAUUACUUUGUUAGGGAGGCAGUGGGGGCCCUUGGGAGGAAACCCCAUGGUCCUUCCGCUUGGGGCAACCAGCUCAGGAGGAAGUACCAUGUGCUGGUUCCCAACUCAGCGGGAGAGUCAACAGUGUGUUCUCGUGGGCCAGCCAGGCAUCAGGGAUCCUGCUCCCUGGAAGCCUCUCUGUGAGCUCCCUGCCCCGUGGCUGCAAGCAUAUCCGAGGCUAAGGCGGGCCUUCCAGGAGGCUCACACUCAGCCAGGCUUCUCUGUGGAGAUGCGGAAAUUGAGACUCAAAGAGGUUGAGCAGCAAUUCCGUGAGCUGAAACUUAAGCCCAGAUGCAUGUGAUUCCAGAGGCAGGAUCGGCUGUGGGCUGGGCUGCUUCCUAAGUUUUCAUCAGCUCUGCCCUCACUCUCGGCUCUUUUUUCCAGGCCCAGGCCCACUCGCCUCCUGUGAGUAUCAGGGAAGUCCAGUGCUGUCUGCUGCUGGCCUGUGAUGGAUGAAUUGGCCCUCUUGGACUUGGUCCAGUGCUUUCAAACUCGACUUUGUCCCUCCAUCCAUAUGUUCAGGCUUUUUUCCCUCCUCCCCACAGCCUGGGCAUGGCAGGUGAAGGAGCCUCCUCCUCUACUUUCUCUGCUUCUCAAAUGUUCUAAGACUUGGGAGAAGCCCAAAGACCUCCAGGCUCUUCACUCAUUCAUUCAACAGAUACCUUCUGAGCAUCUGGUAUGUUCUGGAUUUUGUCGUAGGGGUUGUGAACACAGCAGGCCAGGUUGUUGUCCGCAUGGAGGUUAUCAUGAACAAAUGCAUCAACGAGAAGAUUGUAGGGAAUGGCAUGAGCUUUGAUGUUACUAAAACAAGUUGGUGUCAUUGGAAGUGACUGGGGGAUGCGAGAGGGGCUGUUUUGCUAGCAUGUAGGGAAAUCCACUCCAUAGAGGGGAUGUUCGAACCGAGAUUUAAAUGAAAAGAAGCCACUCAGAGGAAGAUCUAGAAGAAGAAUAUUCCACACCAAGAGAGCGACAAGUGCAAAGUUCUCAAGGUUGGAAUGGACUUUACCAACUCAAGGAAGAGAAACGAGGCUGGAGCUUGGAGAGCAGGGGCAGAGGUGGGUAGGGAUCAGAUCCUGCAGGGGCUUAGAGCCCAUUGUCAGACUUUAGAUUUUACCCUAAGUGCAACUAUAGCUCUUGGAGGCUUGGAUCGGGGAGAAAUGUGAUCUGGUUUACACGGUAAAGGAUCACUCUGCUUUCCAUGUUGAGAACAGGUUAUCGAGAAUUCUGACAGCCACAAAUCCUAACCCACACCAAACUCUCCUCCAGAUGCACCUCACCCUGCUGUACUUCUAGGUCCUUGCGCCUGCAAAACCCUCUGCCAGGUAUGCCUUUCUGCUUACUUUCUAGAACAUUCCUAUUCAUCUUCAGGACCCAGCCCCCAGGCACUUUCCUGAUGGGCCCUCCCCCUCGCCCACAGUAAGGGUUAAGUUCAUGUUCUCAUUGCCAUUACCCAAUUCCAGCCAUAAGCAGACUCAGCCUGUUUCUGGGUCCCUCCCCCGACUGGACCAGGAGCUCCUCAGACAUCAGGAUUGCAGUUGACUUGGCUGUGAGAGCCCAGGACCUGCACACAGCCGGGCCCAGCCUGGGUGCCUGCCAGCUAAACAAAUGCUUUCUGGGUGGACACGAACUCAUUGAGUGCCCAAGUCAUUAACAGAAGCACGAGGUUAGCAAGCACCCUCUGUUUAAACAAAUAAUAAGAUUAGAAGUAUGGUAACAUACUACUUACCACAGCAUUUAAUUUGAAUCCAUACUUACUAGAAAUCGUGGCAUCUGGACACUGAGUUUCCAAGUGUUUACUAAAAGCGGCAAUAGCCUGUGAUCGUCAAAAUUUGAAUAGUUCUUUCUCAAGGACUGUUCCCUUGCUACCUUGAGACUAGGAAUGUCUG